CGCAGCGUUCUGGAACUUUCAGGCUCGCCCCCACUCUCCGAACGGCCCCGGGGAAAGGCAGGGUGGGGGGGCAGGAGAACCUGCGCGCGGGGAGUCCUCAGUUACUCCGGUGGGGGAAGGGAAUGUCCGCUUCUACGCAUGCGCCCCCCACCCGGCACACGCGGGCGGGGACGGAAGAAGGAGGAGGAAGAAGGGCGGGCACACUUUGAAACAACCAAUGGCAGUAGUGCUACCUGAGAUCGUUGCUAGUGCGGAACCGAGGCUGGAUGAGCGCGUCUUGAAGGGAGGGGUUUGGGCCCUUGGUGCCCGGGGAAGAGAGGACGGAAGUGGAGCGAGGACAAAAUGGCCGCGAAGGUACCAGGAAUCAAACUCAGGGCCUUUUGCUUGUGUGCUCAGCUCAGUUUUAAAGAAGAGAACACUGAGGCCACACAGCUCAUGGGAGGCACUGAAGACACAGCCUAUCUUCAGUUUUUAUUCUGUGUUCUUUCCCAAUCAGACCAAAUGUCAUUGUCUUUACCUUGAAAUUGGUGCCACAAACUAACAAGAACAUCAGCAAUAUGGUUGCAUCCAGAGGGGAGUAACCAGGAGUCCACAUUUGUUCAACAAAUAUGAGCAACACUCGGGUUACCAUAUUAGUGCUGCUGGGCUUAUAAAGGUGAAUGACACUGCCUUUUGUCUAUGAAGAGAUGUUAGUCUCAUGAAACAAAACAGGCAAUUGACUUCCUGAUGAUCUUUGCAUUUUCAUCAGAGCAGCAGACUCUGGCCGACAUCCCUUCCUAUCGACCAGAUGUACUUCAUGAUUAUGGUGAAAAGAUGACAAAAUGGAGGCUCAGAGAAAUCAAAUAUAUUGCCAAAGGAAAUGCAGCUAGGAAAUGACACAGCCUGCAUUUGAAUUGAAGAAGUUGAUGUCCCCUCAGUGACGUCCCCACCCAAAUGGAAAGAAGCCACCUUCCCUGUGUCCUGCACAAGGUAGGGACAUGUAGCUCGAGCAUCCUGGGAUGAGAGCAAGCUGUUGAAAAUGAGUGGGAAUAAUGUAUUUCGGGAACCAGAAAAUACUUCACCAAUUCACAACCCUGUUGAACAUUGCUUCUAACAUCAUCAUGGUUCAUGUGUAUACAGUAGUCACACGUGCAUAAACUAUGUGGUAAAGUCUUUGUUUUUCUUUACCAAGUGGAUUCCAAAAAUACUGAUCAUUCCAAAAUAGAAUUUUUCCUUCAUCCAAAAUAGUCUGACCACCUAGUUUUAGAUCUUUAAUCUCUUCCCUCAAAUAAAGUAUAGAGUUACAGAAAUUUUACUUGUCCUCUUAGCUCCAUUAAGAAAUAUCUCCUAGUGGCCACAGAGGUUGGAAGAAUAUAGAAAAUUAUAUUUUGUGUCUUACAGAGAAUUUUUUAUUCCUCUUAGUUUAAAUUUUAUAUUUUUAAGAUUAAGAAAAAAACAAAACAAAUGAACACUAACAAGAAAUAAGCCCAAAGCUAACCUUUUCCAAACUUUUAAAGUGCAGGAUUUUUGAAAAACUGUGAAGGAUGGUUACCUAAUGUGGCUUGGGUCUGGCUGGAGUCCUGACUCUGUCAUUCACUGUGGCCUUAGAUCAUUAAUUUACCUGAGCGUAGUUUUAUCAUGUCUCACAGGAACACAAUAGUACCUUUUUACAUGGCUGUUGUAAGAAUUAAAUUUAAUAACUCUUGUUUUAAAGCACAUAGCACACACUACUAUAAAAUUGCUUCUUGACUUACAGUGGAGUUGUGUCCCAACAAACCCAUCAUAUGAGGUGAAAAUGUCAUAAAUCACAAAUACAUUCACUGUAUGUAAACUCAUAUUUAGCAACAUGGUACACUGUAGCAUCAGCUGUUUCUCCUCACAAUCAUUCGCUGGCUGGAAGGUGCCCUGCUGCAGCCCAGCACUGUGAGAGAUAUCAUAAUGUAUAUUGCUGGCCACGGAAAAGAUUGAAAUUGAAAAUUCAAAGUAGAGUUUCUACUGGAUGUGUGUAGUUUUUGCAGCAUUGUUAAGUGGACAAAAUUGUAAGUUGAGUCAUCAUAAAUUGGGAACCAUCUGUAUAGCUUAACUGCUGUAGUAAGGAGUAUAAAAGUAGAGAGAAAGUAAUAGUCUUGGAGAAAGGGGACAUAGAUGGAAGAAAUCUCUAAGGAGAAAGAAAAAAUUGAUCCCAAGUCCUGGGGCAAAACCUCUGCUAGAACAAAUAACACUGUUUCAAAGCAUCCUAAAGAAAGAUACAGGUUCCAUCUCCCUCCAGGCUGACUCUGCCCACGCCAGGGCACACUGCCCAUGAGUGGGCAGCAGCCCUAUUAAGGGACGCAGCAAAGGAAAAGAGUACUUUGGGGGAACUGUCAAACAGGAAAGGCUGUUUGGAGGGUCCAUGUGCAGAUGGUUAUUUCCUAAAUAACAGCUUCCCUACUGUUUCUUUUUUCUCUAAGCCCGGAGGUCAUAAUUACCACUAAGGAAUUCUAGAGUUGUUGGGAUGACCUAGAAAUAUGUUCAGGGAAAGAUGAGACGUUUCCAGUGACUUCAGUAUAGAAUCAACAAGAUCUAAUAGCUAAAAAAGAGGCUGGAAAAUCAGGAUAGGGCUAGAUCAGGAAAAGUUUGCUGGGUGACAAAAACUCACUCCUUGACCUAACUUUAGUCAGGCUCUUCUGAGUCCUCCUUUUCUUUAGGCCCAGCCUUGAUCUCUGUCUUGGUUCCCUUACUCCAGCUUUAGCAAGAAUCCUACUGAGUCUGUUUAGUGAGAAUCCCCUAUCCUUGGUUUCAUCCUCUCAAUAUCUUAUUACCCUGCUUUGCUUUCAGCAAAAAUCAUAUUACAUCAGAGCAGCAAAGAAUUAUCCUACUUCUUAGUAUUUUUCUAUCCACCAGUCCCUUCACUCUGCUCUGAGGCUAUAAAUCCCAUUUCCUUCAUAUAUUUGAAGUUGAGCCCAGUCUCUCUCCUUUGCUGCAAAAUCCUGUUGUAAAUAGCCACUGAUGGAGUUCAGGACACACUGUCUCAAAACAUGACACCUUGGAGUAUUGAGUUUAUUAAGCUGAACGAAUUUGAAAAACCUCAGGGACAUGAAGGACUCUGAUCUUUCCCUGAAGCAAGUCAUAAGACCUCCUGACAGGUACCCUCCCUACAUCUGGAAGGAAGGAGUGUCUUUCCUCAUCUCUGAAGGCAGAGGGACACUGAGAGGAAUGACCUGGCCUUCCUAGCUUCCUCCAGCUUGUUAUCCUGUUUCCAUGACUAUCCAUACUGCAAGUCUAGUCUAAAACACUGUGAUCUAACAAUUUCUUUGAGUUUUCAUUUCCUUGCAAAGGGUCCUAGGUCACAUAAAACUUAAAUUAAGUAUAUUUAUAUGAUUUUCUCUUCUUAACCUGUCUUUUGUUAUAGACCCAUGGCUAAGAGGCUGGUAAGGUAGAAGGAAAAAGGUUUUCCUCCUUUACACUUUCCUUGAGCAAUGUCUUCCUUACCACCUUUAAGAAUGUUAUGAACAAUUUUUUCUUCAGCAAUAACAUAUCAAGUAGAUUAGGUCAUCCUUGGUGCACAGCCCAAGGGGAGCCAGUAGGGUUUUAGUGUUUCAUGUCGAAGUCUGUCUGCUAGCAUGUGAGCUCUGUUAGCAGUGUGACAAAUGCCUGCACAGGGAGGGCUUGGUUUCAUGGGACCAGCUGCAAGAAAUCCAAGGACAGCAAUAAACAAAUGAACUGUUUUGGAUCCUGUGAAAUCUUUUUCCUUAUUCACCUCAAGAACAAAGCACCUAAGAAAAUGGUGAAGUUAAGGGCCGGGGAUUUAGUUCAGUGGUUCCGCUGCCUGCCUUGCAAGCACAAGGUCCCGAGUUCAAUCCCUGGUACCAAAAAAAAAAAAAGAAAGAAAGAAAAUGGUGAAGCAUCUUUAAUAAUGAUGUAAAUGAUUUCUGUUCUUUAAAGUACAUUAUUUCUGGGCCGGGGAUUUAGCUCAGUAGUUCCGCUGCCUGCCUCGCAAAGCGCAAGGUCCCAAGUUCAAUCCUUGGUACCCCCCCCCCAAAAGUAAAUUAUUUCUGUAAAAAUGACAACUCUGACUUAUAAAGCCUAUACACUAUGUGUAUAUAUGGUCACAACUAAGGACCAGUGGCUAAUGUCCCACGAGAGAACAAUAAGGAAAAUCCUGAAUGUGGCGUCUGUCACAGGUAUUUCAGGGUGCAGGCUAGGUACCAGAGUGUUUGAAGAGGCCUGUCUGUAAGUUUGUAUUACCAGGGUGACAGUUCAUGGCUAGAGCCUAGAUUAUUGCUUUUGAAAACACCUUCUGAAAUGUAGGCCCAAAGCAUAACCUAGCAUAAAUGGAAUCUGACUUAGGGGCUGGCUAACAGCAUUUGGUUUUAAAUGUGACAGGCUUGCAACACAGGUGACAGAGUUUGUCCUUAUUCCAAAAUGGGUAAAGUAACCUCAUGUAUCCAGUUCCCUGAGCCUCAUAAAAGUUUCCAUUCAACCGUCUUUCUAAAAAACUGAAUUAACCUUCCACCUUGGAAGGCAGAAUUGUCUUUGUUCACAGAGUGGUACAUAAUUCAGAACCUCAUUCGGGAGCAGGAAGGGGGAGAGCCCAGAGUGAAAGAGAAGAGGCCGGUGGAGAUGGCAGCGUCCCAGAGGGGAGAUGGCCAUCUCCUGAGAAAAAAACAGUUUCACCAGGGCCCCGGCUCGGGCCAUCUGCGCUGUGUUUGCUUUGGACAGCGCAGGCGAAGAGGGCUCAGGGUUAGUCUCUCCCCAGAGAUGGUGAGAGCGACCCGGGCGAACCCCCAACCAGCGCGCUGCCUGCUGCCUGUCGCUGAGCCCUGCCAUUUCCGGAAACUUUAUAGAAGAAGUCCCAGCUCUCUCCUACGGGGCCGCCACCCUGUCCAGGCCGGCUCCUCUUGAAUAAAGUCAGCCGGGCGCCCGGGGCUGCUGAGCUUCUGCGCGAGGGGAAGGCGCCAGGCUCGGUGAUUGAAACCACAUGUGCUGGAGGAGUCAGAGCAGCAACCCGGACACGAGAUCAGCUGCUACCGCCGCGUUUCUUUUUCCUUUAUCCCUCAGGCUUCCUAGGUCAGAUCCUCUGAGAACCCUAGACCACCAAUGUCCCGCCAGGAAGAGCAAGUUUUGUUUUGUUUUUUAAUUUAAUGAAAAGGCAUUUUACACACACACACACACACACACACACACACACUAGAAAAUGACCAGAAACCCCAAGGCCAGAGGCCUCUGCUUCCAAGCACACCCUGCCAGCAGCAGGAACCCUCUUGUGGAUUUUGAAGCCCCCCAUUCCCGCGAAGCCAGCAAUUAAGGGGUGGAAUUGCUUGUGGUUGUAUGGCAUAUUUGUCAAACUACCCCAGUACCUCGAUAAAUAAAACAAAAGAAAAUAAAUCAAACUAGUAUAGAUACAUGUACAUGCUAACUCUUUUUUCCAUUUAAAACUUUAAAACCUCGGGGCUGGGGCUGUACUUCAGUGGUAGAGUGCUGGCCUAGCAUGUGUCUAAAAGAGUUAUAGAAUGAAUGCACAAAUAUAUUCUCUUUAUUUAAAAAUAAAAACAAGAAUACACCUCAAGACCUUCCUUGACUCAAGCCCUUCAAGCUGUUUCCACUCCCCCAAGUAAUUCCUGCUAUUAGUUUAAUGAAUAUUCUUUUCUGUGUAGGUAUGGGUACAUAUGUGCAUACAUAAAUAUAAAACUAUUUUACACUUAACUAAAGUGGGAUUUUAAUGUAUUAUUUGCAACUUACUGCACUUUUCAGUAGUUUGGAAAUUUUGUCCAUACUAGAAUAUACAGAUUUACUUUCACCUCUGUGAUGGAAUUGAUAAUUGCAAAAGGAGAAAAGGCAAGAUACAAGGAUUAGCUAUAAUAGAAUGUCAGCCUAUGGGACAAAUCUAGCAAUAAUUCCUUACAAUUUGUGUAGCAGGGAGCUAAGGAUGAUUUUUACAUUUUUGUGUGUGUGUAUAAGUGUUUUUGUUGUUUUAGUUUUGUUUUUUGCAGCGCUGGAGAUCAACCCAGAAGAGAGUCUUUUUCAUGGUAGGCAAACACCAUAUAGUGGUAUCUCCUUAACAAACUUAAUUCAUUCCACGAUUCUGGUCGCAGAAUUUGUCCCACAAUUUUGAUUGCAACCAAAUUGAUUCCUAUCCAGUAAUGCUAGUAACUUGUCUUGGCCAAAAUCCCAUGCCUCUUGUUUUGUGUCCCUGCAUAGGUCUAGGGAGAGAAACAUCAAGAACCAAAUGGAGGUUUCUGACAACUGCUUCCCUGAGCUGAACCUCUCACCUGGGUGGAGGCACUGCAGGGUUCUGGGUGUUGCUAUUUCUUGCCUCCACUCUCAACAUUUUAGCAAGCUAAGAGCAGGAUUCAUGUCUUACCGUCACUGUGUGGUAGAAGAGAUACUGGCCACAGAAUCAGAACAUACUGAUCUUAGUCCUACUCUUUCCAGUACAAGCUGAGUGACUAUUGCUAGUAAUUCUCCCUGACCCUUACUACCACCUCUGUUAAGUAAAGAUAAUAAAUCCUUUUCAGUCCCAUCCCCUGAUGGUAUGGUGUCUGUCUCAUUUCUGUCCAAUUGUGUAGAGGGGCCUGACCAUCCCUGUUCCAGCUCACCACACUCAUAGGGUCUAGAGCAGCACUAGCCACCAAGCUACAAAUGGCAGCUAAGUACUUCAAAUGUGGCUACCUGGAACUGAGCUGCACUCUAAGUAUAAAAUACACAGUAGAUUUUGAGUCACUAUAAUUAAAGGAGUAUAAAAGACCUUGUUAAUAAUUUUUAUGUUAAUUAUAAAUUGAAAUAAUGUUUGGUAUAUUUAAGAUUAAAUAAAAUAUAGCAUUAAUUUCACCAGUUAUUCUUUUUCUGUUUGUUACAUGACCACUAGAAAAAUGUAAAUUGCAUUGGGGGCUUGCAUUCUAUUUCUGUAUUUUCUGUCGGACCACAUUAAAGUGACAGGAAAGGGU